AUACAAGUAAAAUUAGUAAAAGAAUAUUCCAUUGUAGAAAUGAGUGGCAUGGGAGAAAUUGAUGCAAGAGAGAUUGCUCUUGUAAUGCAGCGCAAGGAUUGAAAGGACAGUUUCUCGAGUUUCUCUUCACGAGUUUCAGCCACUUUCCCUGACGCAAGGUCGGGGUCGUUACGAAUAGGACAAAUAUACACCAAGCCUUUGAAGGAUGAGGUUCCAGUUCAGCUCCUACUUCACGACUCUCUUUCCAGAAACUCAUUCUCUCCCUUCUUUCUCCUUCAAACUUCGUUCUACCAUAACUUUCAUUCUACAACUCCAAUUCUUGCGCCGCUUUCGCCUUUAGGAUCAUAUGAACGAGCUCUACAAGAUAAGUGUGGUUUGGGAGAAUGGUGGUCACUAGGCAGCUCAUUGAAGGUUGUGGAUUACUUUGGAGCUGUUAAGAUGACAUGAAAAGAGGAUUCAGACCAAAAUUCAUUCUCCAGCCCGAAGUCAAAAUCUGCGUCUGCUAAGCUCUGCAGGAAAUGUGGCCACAGUGCCAGAAUCCUUGUAGCAUCUAAAAUUUGGUGCCCCAAUUUUAUAUUUUGUUGUUACAUUGGAGGGAUUCGAACCUGAGUAAGGAAUAAUCCAAAGCCUUUCAGGCUCAGAAUUUAUAGCAAA